GAUGAACGCUGGCGGCGUGCCUAAUACAUGCAAGUCGAGCGAAGCGGGGACGGGUGAGUAACACGUGGAUAACCUCCUAUAAGACUGGGAUAACUUCGGGAAACCGGAGCUAAACCGGAUACUUAUCGAUGGAUCCGCGCUGCAUUAGCUAGUUGGUAAGGUAACGGCUUACCAAGGCUACGAUGCAUAGCCGACCUGAGAGGGUGGUCGGCCACACGGGAACUGGGACACGGUCCAUGCGCCUACGGGAGGCCGCAGUAGGGAAUCUUGCGCAAUGGGCGAAAGCCUGACAGAGCAACGCGGCGUGGGUGAUGAAGGUCUAGGGAGCGUAAAAAUCUGUUAGUAGGGAAGCGGUACCUACUCAGAAAGCCACGGCUAACUACGUGCCAGCAGCCGCGGUAAUUC
rnacentral:rRNA from 1 species